CAGGGUGGUAUCUUCAGGACACUGGCAGCAUACACUGCAGACCCUCGACUGUGCAAGACUGAGCUGUGCUGGUCCUUCCUCCAACCCUGGAGCAGCUCCAAGAAUGACCCCCUGCCUCACCAAUGCCUGCUGGGACCAGUGGAGCUGGAGCUGUUUACCUGUGAGAAGGUGGAGACAGUGAGAGCACCUUCAGUCCUCCAAAGACGAAUGUGGCUUUAGCUAACAGAUGUACAUUGGUAAGAGCAUUAGGAAAUUUGGAAAACUACUUUGCAAGGAUUCUCCUGCUGCUGCUGUGCUAAUGAAACUGAAACACUCUUCCUUGAAGUGGUCUCGAAAGAAGCAAUCCGAGUCCAGGCGAAGUUUUCCUUAAAUACCAUCCUUGUUAUCUGGGAGGCUUUGAAUCAAGUAAGAUAGAUGAUUUUAAUUUCCAUGUUCUCAGUGUAACACUUGGGGUCAAUGUUUGCAUACUUAUCAUAGGCAGUUUACCAUUGACAACCACUGUAAUUGUUCAACUUUUCCUUGGUGAAGAUCUGAUUGACUAUUAUGCACUGUAUUUAUUAUGUCUCACACUAAAAUAUAGAUGAUUGAUUAUUCCAUUAUUCCAUUGACCAAGGCUGUAACAAGGUGUGACAAAUAUGUGCCAUUACAGUCCAUAACCAACUGAGGAUGGUAGUACAGUCAGGUAGGAGAAUUUUAAUGUGUGCGACUCUCUGGAAAGCUUUAGCAAACUUUCAGGACACUGCAUUUAAAAGACUUUAUCUGAAUGAAUGGUCUUCUUUUCUGCUAGGUACUUUCUAAGGAUGAAAAAGAAAAAAAGAUAACAGGCCUUGAUCUGAAAAGCUUAGAAUAUGAUUGAGAGCCAACUGGAGCCAAGGGAAAUUCUUCCAGUGACUUGCUGGGCUUUGGCAGGGUCCUGAGGGUAAUCUCUCUGUUUACUUCACUGAGAGUUGUGUCAGCCCCUGAAAAAAUCACCAUUUGUUAACUGCAUUAAAAUGUGCAGGAAAAAAAGUGCCUUCUGUCACUGAUGUAGCACAUUAAUGUGAAUUAUGUGCACAUAUCAAGGGGACUUAUAGUUGGAAAGAGAAAAAUCCUGUAUUUUAAAGCUCUUUAUCUGAAGCUUGGUAUUUGAAAUGCAUAAUUUAAUUAUCUUUGAACUCCUUUGUUCCUCCUUAAAAUAAAUCAUGUUUAAUUUUCCUUUUAAAUAUCACACAUUGAUGGACACAGCACUGGGGAUCAUGGUAACAAAAUGGUGUUGAACCAGUUAGUGGAAAUUAGUAGUAAUAAACAAUGCAUUUGCUACUAGUCUGUCAUAUUAAUUAGUCUUCAGAAUGUGGCAGUGCUUUUCAUUUGUAUUUAACGUUGCCUGAGCUUACUGCCAAUUAAAUACAAUGCUGUUAUCAAAUCAGCUCGCACGUGAUUACAUUGGAUUAAUGUGGUUAUUUUCUUUGAUCCACUAUAAUUAAAAAUCACGGUUGUGAUUUUAAACAAGUGUAAAAAUAUAAUCAGUUUGCAUACGCAGCUGCCUUUUUCUUCUAAUUUACUUUAUUAACAUUCGCCUCUAAUUAACAAUUGUGGAAGUCCUGGGCCCUGUUUAGCAGCUCAGAGGAGACAGCAGCAUUUUGCAAGUGCUGGAAGAAGCCCUUCGUGUGCCUGUGUGCCCUCCUCGCCCCUGCCCAGCCUCCAAAGGUGAAGUUUUCGAGUGAGAUCUCUGGCAGAUCAGUCCCCAAAUCCUCAAGGACAACUCAUCAGCUUCAAGCCGAAAGAAAAUACCACCUUAAAACUCAAUACUGUUUCCCUUGAAGCCUGAUGGCUCAGUCUAACUAGCCACCUGCACUGUGCUUAGUUCCCAGGGAGUCUUUAAUUGCUGCAAGCACUGCAUCAGGCUGUGCCGUGCAGCCUCCUUGUCCCCACAGGACCGUCACCCCAGCAGUUGUGCAGCCAAGAAGUCUAUGGAGAUAUGGGCUUAUGCAAAACGGGCAACUGCAGCAUGCUGAGAAGAUGCCAAUGCCCACACGCUGGCCCCGAAAUAUCCAGCCUAUCCAGGCCUGGUUUUUUCAGCCUUCGGCUUUUCACCAAGUGGGAGCUCUUCCUUUUGGGUUCUGCCACCCAGCAGGGGUGAGGAAGAGGCGAAAUGCCACCGCCCAAACCAGAAGGACAUUGUUUCCCAUCACUACCCACUUCUCUGCUGCUGACAGACAGGACCCAGACAGCAGAAAGUCUGGAGGAGGCUGCUCUUCUGCUGGAGCAGAUAGAAGUAAUUAGUCAAAUCACUGCGGCGCAGAGAGGGACUCUGGCCCAUCUCCCGUCAGGCAGCAAAUGACUCAUUGCGUAACAACUUCAGUAAAGGAGUAUUUUUUUCUUCUUCCUUUCCAA